CCUACGGGGGGCAGCAGUGGGGGAUAUUGCACAAUGGGGGGAACCCUGAUGCAGCGACGCCGCGUGGGUGAAGAAGGGCCUCGGCGCGUAAAGCCCUGUCAGCAGGGAAGAAAAUGACGGUACCUGAAGAAGAAGCCCCGGCUAACUACGUGCCAGCAGCCGCGGGAAUACGGAGGGGGGACGCGUUAUCCGGAUUUACUGGGUGUAAAGGGGGCGUAGACGGCGAUGCAAGCCAGGAGGGAAAGCCCGGGGCCCAACCCCGGGACUGCUCUUGGAACUGCGUGGCUGGAGUGCAGGAGGGGCAGGCGGAAUGCCUGGUGUAGCGGUGAAAUGCGUAGAUAUCAGGAGGAACACCGGUGGCGAAGGCGGCCUACUGGACUGCAACUGACGUUGAGGCCCGAAAGCGUGGGGAGCAAACAGGAUUAGAUACCCCAGUAGUC
rnacentral:rRNA from 1 species